rnacentral:misc_RNA from 1 species
CAGGCCCACCACUUUCAUCGAGUGAGCAUUCGUCUUCUGGUUACGGGGCCAUAGCUCAGCUGGGAGAGCGCGUGCUUUGCAAGCAUGAGGUCGUCGGUUCGAUCCCGUCUGGCUCCACCAGAUGGUUUGAUCACCGAGAUCUUGACCGUCGUCCGCGAAACAUCACUUCGCAUCCUGCUAGUCUGGAUAGACAGCAGUUUGCGUGUUUUCUGACAUCGUAAAGAGGAGAUCGAUCCGAGUUGGGUCGUGCAGCAUAUCGUUGCGCGAGCCUUCAUUAUCUCCGGAUCAUUUCGGCGCUCGCUUCCAGCCGUGAGGUUGGAUGCGGGUUGUAAAUGAUCCUUUUAGCGAAGCUUGACCGCCUCGCUAUCGGAACGAUCUUACGAAGCAAGCUGGUCUUUCUAGUCAAUGUCCGGCUGCGGAUAGCGUUCAUCGAGGGCGCGUGCCGCAAGGCAAUUCUGCAGACAACAUUCUGCCGAGUGUGUGGACAUUGAUAAUGAGAGCAAUCAAGUGCCUUAAGGGUGUUCGGUGGAUGCCUUGGCGCUGAGAGGCGAUGAAGGACGUGCUACGCUGCGAUAAGCCGUGGGGAGCUGCGAAGAAGCUUUGAUCCGCGGAUUUCCGAAUGGG